rnacentral:misc_RNA from 1 species
CAGAACAAUAAUUUCUAACAAAAAAUUUCUUUAGCAUCCACAAACUUCAACCUAACAAAGCAUUAACAUACACAAGACAGACCCAACUCCCCUUCAUGGAUUAAUGCCUCUGCAACGUACUUUGGACAAAAAUGGACCAAACAUUUCAAAAAUGAAUAUAGUAAGGGUCUAUCAAAUAAUAACUUGCAUCAGGAACAGCUCAUUCUGAGAAUUACCCUCACUGGAGCAAUAAUGUUGCUAAACCUAGGUGAGGUUACAUCAAGCUAUACCAACAGAUACUUCCAUCAAAUUUGUUAUUAUACUGAAUGACCCAUUGCAUUUGCACAAGGUUUAAGCCUCCUCAAAAGGAGUAGAGAUGACUGAUGCUAGCAUACAUCUUCUGCUACCAGUGGAGGGACAAAUCUGUAACCUUGAAGAGUUUGCUCAAAGAUAUGACCAACCUUGAGUAAUUUUGCCUGAAAGGUGAAAGCAUGAUAACAAAAAAACUAAUGAUCAAAAAUCUGUCUACUAUCUAAUUCAUGACAAUGGAGAACAAAGAAGAGAAAAAGAAUUGCUGUAUUUCCUCAAACAGGAAUCUGCAAAUUGUUUACAUCCUUUGCAACAAUACAAUAUAUUCAUAUGUUAAUUUAUAAGCUAGUUGAUGAUGGGGAGUACAUUUUUUAUGGUUGACAAAGGGGAAAACCAAGCCAAUGCUUCCUCUUGUUUUGAAUAUGCUUUCAGGAGUCUUGACUCUAUACCAUUGUUUACAAGCAACAUCAAUGAUUAACCAAGACUAGACAAAGCCAGCAGAAAUAAAUAGAUUAUUAUCAAUGAGCAGCAGCUCUACAACCCAAGAAUACAGAAGCACCAAGUUGCAGUUCAUAAACCAACUCACAAUUAACCCAAACUAUAACAUAUUGCAGCAGAAGUUUCGUAAAAUACAAUUUUACCAGGUAUUUCUGGAUGGAGUUGCAGAAACAUACCAUACUUGAUCCAAUCUGCAAUUAAUACUUUCUUAUGCGUUUUUUCUAAUAGCCCAUAUCCUUCUCAGGAUUUUCUUACAGGGAAAUCACCAAAAACCCCCAAGGUUUAGCCUGACACACUCUAGUACUCCUUUUUUUUAAAUCAAUUAUGUCAAAAAUAAUGUAGUUUAGGCCAAAAAACAGUCUUUUGGUCUAUAAAAUUACUAAAGUGUUAAAUUAUAGAAAACUCUUAAGGACAAAAGUGUUUGAUUUUGAAAAGAAGAGGAACAAAAUAUAAGGUCAAGCCUCACAGAACUUUUAUCUAUUUAUCAUUAUACUUCAAAGUGAUUUAUUCUUCCAAACAUCAGCUAACAACCAUGCUAGGUUGCAACCCAUUUCUUUUAGUAAAGCUUUUCAAACUGGAGUUAAAGGUGAACCAGAGGAGUUUCUCCAACAGCAUCACUACAAAGAAUGAGAUGUUGAUACCUCAUCAAAUGCAGCUCCAAUCAUUUGAAAACCAACAGGAAGUCCUGCAGGCCCCUCUUCAACAAAUCCACAUGGCAAAACCAAUGCAGGUAACCCUGCCAAGUUAACGUUGACCUGUACCAAGGAUACAAUUGCUAAAUGAGAAAAGAAAAAUAAGAUCAGGUUGAUACUAAACAAGAAGCAGCAGAACUGUAAAAAAAUUAGAUCACAAAUUCGCAAAAAUUGAAACAAAAUUGAUGUUAACAUUGCAAUAGUUCUAGGAAUCUUGGGCAAAUUUUUUAAGCAAUAUUCUUGUUAAAUUAAAUAAUAAAUUUAUUUAGCUACUAUACACAUUUCAGACUGCUAAAGUUUUCAUCUUUCACAAAGCAAUCCUGGAUGAAGUCAGGAAAAUCUCUAUUCUAUUGUUGUUUUAUUUCAUGAUCCUUUACUGAUUCCAAAUGUAAGGAACCACUCUGGUGCAUCUUCUGCGUUUCACGCCUCCUACAGUCAAGCAAUGACCUGAUUUUCUUUCUUCUUUAUUAUUCUUACAAAGAGCAGCACAUAAUUAACCACAUAAAAAUUUAUUAAAGUCACUAACAGCAAGCAUAAAUUUCGUAAAUAUUUCAGCCUGGCAAAACCGGCUUUUUAAUGUUUAAGAUCCCUCACUCUCUCUCCCUUUCCAAAUCUAAAAUACAAUUUUCUAUUUUCCUCAGCCAAUCUUUAACUCGUGGCAUAUUGUUCAAGGUAGAAAAAUCAAAUACAGAUCAGAAUCCAAAGCAUCCAUAGAGGUAAAACAAUAGUGGAGGGAGGCGGGUGCAAUUAGGCAGAAAGAAGAUAAAGAAGCACAAAUUUGCUUACGGUCAUUAUGUCACCAGCAUACAUUGCCAACGGAUCAUUUUUCUUUUCACCUGUAAACAUUAAAUUAGUUGGAUAUUUACUUUUAAACUGAGACUAUCAAGGUGCACAAAGUCAAAACAAGUAGCCCAAACAUACCAAUCUUAUAAGCAGCAGAAGGAGCAGCAGGAGAAAUUAGGAUGUCAUUUGCAUCUAAUGCAGCCUUGAAGCUUCUCUGGAUUAAAGUCCUCACCUAAAACACUAUUACAAUCAUAAAUUUCUUCUUGAAGAUCUUAAAAGCUCUUGAAAUUUUUAUUGAUUUUUAGAAAAAAUAAGAAUCCUAUACUAAAUUACUAAAUAUUCUGUGUUACAAAAUUAGAUGCUCGAAUCAUAGAAGUAGCCAAACAUAUUCCAAGUCACUUGUCCAAAUUUGUCAACGGAAAUUCAAAAGUCAAGAAAUUCAAGAACUCUACAGAAUCAUGGUGUUAAACCCACUGAACACAUCAAGACUCCUGGUAACCACAUUCAUCCUCUUUAAGGUAUGGACUAGGUGCAUCACACAUCCACCUUUUAAACUCAUGUUACCUGUUGAGCACGCUUAUAAUAUGCAUCAUAAUAACCAGCUGAAAGGGCAUAUGUUCCCAUCAAAAUUCUCAUUUUGACCUCAGGACCAAAUCCUUUUGCUCGAGAAUCCCCAUAAAGCAGAUUUAACUCAUCAGCAACAGCUUGCUUUCCAUACCUGACACCAUCAUAACGUGAUAAGUUGGAAGAUGAUUCUGAAGACGCAAGAAUAUAGUAAGCUGGUAAACCAAGGGAGAAAGAUGGCAAUGAUACCUCUGUCACAGUGCAUCCUAAUUCUUCUAGGUGCGAUGCAGCGCCACUGAUUGCAGAUUUUACCCCAUUAUCAACACCAUCAUCAAGAGUUUCACGUAUAAGACCAACCCUCAAUCCCUUCAAUGGUCUAGAUUCCACAAGAUUUGCAGAAGUGAACUGAGUUGUGAAAUCAGGAACCUCCUGAAGAGAUGAAAAUUAUAGCAAAAUAAGAAACCAUAACUUUUAACCCCAGAAAUCAAUAGAAAACAAUUAGCAAUAUUAUAAAUUUGUACAGGCACAGUGCAGUAAAUGAUAAACUUGUGUACACCAACAUUUACAGUUGACAUUAAUUCCUUAGCAGUCCCAUGGAUUGACCAACGUGUUAAAUAAGAUAAAUAGGAAUGUCAAUUUAUCCCCCUAAAACACGUAAAUUUUGGUCACUUCCUUUUCCAUAAACAUCAGUAUCAAAAUUACUGUCAACUGCUGGGUUAUAAGAUAAGAUUAUAAUUGGUCAAGCAAACAUGGAAGGAGAAAUCACUUUCCUUAAGAAAUAAAAAUAAGCCAAUAUAUACAUGAGGGUAGACGAAUUCAUAAUCUCCUACUGCUAGUGGCAUCAUAUCUAUCAUGACCACUAAUUGCAUGAAGAAUAAUGCCAGUAUCAGCAACUGAUGUAGAAAAGCAUCCAACAACAUCCAGUGAUGGAGCAUAAGCCAUAAGUCCAAAUCUUGACACACGCCCAUAGGUUGGCUUCAAUCCAACAAAACCACCAAAUGAUGCUGGAUGUCUUAGAUUUCCACCAGUAUCACUUCCCAAUGAUACUACACACUGCCUAGCAGAAACAGCCGCAGCAGAUCCUCCUGAUGAUCCACCAGGCACCCGAGACGUAUCCCUAGGGUUUGAAGUCACCUGAAAAGCGGAACGUUCAAUGGUACUUCCCAUACCAGACUCAUCCAAAUUAGUCUUUCCCACCACAAUGGCACCCUUCUCCUUCAUUCUCCUGACCGCCGUUGCAUCAUACGGCGCUCGAUAAUUCUCCAAAAUGCGAGACCCACCAGUAGACGGCAUAUCGGACGUACAUAUAUUAUCCUUGACCCCAACAAGCACCCCAGCAAGCGGACCCACAUCCUCAUCCCUGUCAAUCUUGUCGUCGAUCUCUUGGGCUUGUUUUAACACGUUAUCCGAUAUGAGGAGGAACGAGUUGAGUUGGGGCUCGGUGAGCCUAAGGCGGGUUAAGUAGGAAUCAGCGAGUUGGAAGAGGUUACGUGGCGGGAGAGAUGGGAGUGAUGGAUUCUGAGGAUUUGGGAGGAUUGUUGGGAUUGGUCUGUGAGGGCGGAAGUGGUAACUGGUAGUGAAGUUGAGGAUGAUGAAGCAUCAGUAAAUGUGAGAGAGCGGGGUUUAAUGGAGGGAAGGUUGAAAGAGAAGCGAGAGAGGGACCGAGGGGGCUGCAGCGCGGACAGCAUUUCGUUUCCUCC